UCCAAUUCCGCGUUGCAGGACAAGGAGAUCCGCGAGAACAAGGCCGCCUGCUACACCGACGUCGAGAACGGGCUGUGGGGAUUCGCGUGCAGGUCGUCCACCACGGAGAAGGAGAACUGCGUGCUGCGCUGCCUCUCGCCGGAGUGCUACAACCUCAUAUACGGCGGCGAUCCGCUUGAGGAAGGGGAGCUAGACUAUGUCCGCAGCCAUGAGUACAAGUACUGCAUGCACAAGGUAUCCCUUGGAGAAAGCUUGGAUGGUGUGAAGGGUUCCUUCAGCUAUUCAUGA
rnacentral:rRNA from 1 species